CAACCGACACCUAGACUUAGGGUUUCAUCUAACAGAUUUCCACGAGUUUUGGUGUUUGUCUAUUUCUGCAGGGGGUUAUCAGGAAAUACGAAGGAAAGGCCCACACGUCGGGUUUACAUAGAGAAUUAAUGUGUGCAGCAAUUUUCCAUAAUCAGGAAGACUCAAGAAGCAACUCGACCGAAGCGGAGCCGAGACGGGCCUGGGACCUGGGCGCCCGCCCUUGAUCCUUGGGCGCCCGCCCUGAUACAAGCACCAAUCACAGAAUGGAGUACACCAUUACAAAGAUCUCGUCGAGCUGAUCGAAAUGCAUAUAUUAUUUGCUAUAUUUGGAGUUCGGAAUCAAGAAAUGUUAAUAAAAGAAGGACUCCACAUAAAAGAGCUGCGGGAUUAAUUGGGCUCAAAUUAGAAUUUGGUCCAUUAAGGCCUAUGUGCAUUUUAAUGAGAUAUGGUGGAAAGUUUAGUACCACAUUGCCUGCUGAACCAAAAACGCACAAAGGAGGAGGACUAUAUAAGCAAUGCCCCUAGCCCCUGGAGGAGAACAUAUCAUUAUAGAGUUGAGAGGUGCCCUCGAAGGUAACCUUUCCUCUAUAGAGAAUUAGGGCUAGACAUUCCAAUGUAGUAGAUUAGUUCUAGUCGGGAGUCAGGGAGAGCGGAGCUGCGCUCCGGUUUUGGAGAAGUCUUCAGAGUUUUGGUAUGUCUUUAUUGUAAGACUUAUGCUUUAAUAUAUUUAUCUUCUCUAUAUACUUUUAUGCCUUUAUUAUUAUCGAGUAGUGUAGUUGUUAUAUUUUGGCAUAGGAUCUCCGUUCGCAUCGAGUGCUCUAGUUAUUCAUGGUAAUUAGAGUAGUAAUCGUUAGUGUAGACAUGGUGUCUAUACUAGAGGUUACCUGAGGUUGCACCCAGUCCUGCGGAUUGUUGUGGUAGCCCUAGGGUAGUGACAGCCCUAACGGUCGACGUAUUCCACCUCGUUCGGAUCGGUGUUUGUAGGACCGUAGUCAGAGCUUCCCAGCCUCCUUCUCAUCUCUUUCUGUGGUUUGUGUUCUGGUGUCCCAAAGUGCUAAUAUGUGAUUGCGAUAUCUAUUCAUUCUUUGUUAUCAUAGAACUGAAGUAAUAGAGAAGUAUACAGAAACCCAGGUCUCUCUCGUUGUCCUCCCGCUAUGGCUAUCUACGCAUUUAUCAUAGAAUUCUCACCUUUAUAUUAUUACCUAUCAUAUAUCAUUUACCCCUACUUUAGUCUAGUUGGUUUAUUAAAUUAGUAGAUGCAUGAUAGUAAGUUAUCAGAUUCUUUGACCUUAGCUUCCCAGUGGUAAAAUAUAAAUAACGAUACCUGGAAUACUCCCGGUAAAAUGCUACGAUAAUGUUCUGUGCGCUUGCGGAAUUUUUCUUAUUCUUAUUGCACUUAACGAAUGUCAACAAGCAUUUUUGGCGCCGUUGCCGGGGAAGCAAUUGGUGUGAAGAUUUUGAUAAUGAUCUUGAUGUCUGCUAAUUUAAUGUAUCACUAGCUUUAGUAGGUUUAUUGUAUUUAUCUUUUCUGCAUUUAUUUUUAGCAUAUUUAUUUCUCCAUAACAUAUUUAUCUUUCUGCAUUAUUAUUGCAUUAGAAAAUAUAAUAAAAAUAUUUUAUAUAACUCAUUGCAUCUUAAAUACUAAAACCCCAUGUGAAUAAAUUGUGUGGUGUGUAAAAGCCCACACAGAUAUUCACCGUGGUGGAAUAAAAAAUAAUAAAAAUAAAUAAACAUGCAUUCAUCCUAUUCCAUUUCCUUUUUCCUUCAUAGAAAGAUUAAAACCCAAAAAAUAUAUAUAUUGAGAAAGAGAUCUUGUUGAAACUCUACUUAGAAAAAGAAUUAAGAAAAAUCUAAAAAGCUUGGACAACUAAGGGUUAAGUGGCCAACUACUAAUGUUUAAUCGGUGCCACAAGUUUUGUUGUCUAUUUGAGUUUAACAUGAUUUAAAGAGAGAAUCCCCAAUGAUCAAGAUAUCUUCAUUAACUUGGAAGCGCUGCAAUCAUCACUCACAUUUUGAAGCUCAAGAAUAUUGAAGAACCUCUGUGUUGUGCGGAUUCAAGAUUAAAGACUAUGUCAACAUUUAGCUUGAGGGAAAGCAAUCCCGUUAUCUUCACGAUUCAGGCUUUAAGUAAAAGAGUGAAGAAUAACAACAAGAAUGGAGAUAAAGAAGGAGACACAUGAAGUUUAAUAAUUUGCACAAGAAAGACAUAGCUCGAGAGAUAAUCCAUGGAACGAGACGAAGAGUGCCACGAACAAGAUGCACAACCAUGCAUUGAGAAAGAAAAGCUUCCACAAGGUGAUAUUGUACCAUCACUCUUCAAUUAAGGUAACAUCUUAAGGUUCACUGUUAUAAGCUUCUCCUUGAUUCUGGCAUGCACAUGGAUAAAAAGACAAACAUGUAAGAUUUAUAACUCCAAAUUAACCAACCCAAUUGAUUCAAGAUGUUUAGUCCUUUAAUCUUUGUUUCCGGUACUACCUUCUUGAUCCCACACUCUUAACCAUAUGAGCUAAAAUAUUGCACAUCCGAUCUUUGGAAAAUGAUAGUCAUGUAAAAAACAUUUACUUAGAUAGAUUAUCUUUCCAUAAGGUUGAGUGAUCUGAUCUGGCAAAUGUUUUAAAUGCUACACUCAUGAUCUUAUCAUCCAUCAACUUUGUCUUGCUCACUAUGCUUAGGGUUAGAGAAGAACAAAUACACUUUUGGUUCUGUUGGUGUUUUCCACCAACAGGGCCCAUGCACUUGAUCUCUGCCUUGUCUCUAUGAGCAGGAUACACUUCGAGCAAAACAUGGAGGAGUUUUCCAACUCCCAGACUCUACCAAGUGAAGGACCUGGAUCUACGAGCACAAACACACGGAAGAUGAUGCUGCCAACGCCGCACUUCGAACUGCUGGGAAACGAAAAACAUGGGUGACACCGUAUCAAGAGGUGCAGAUGUCAAGGUCCACACCUAACUCAAAUGACGCACCUAAAGAAUGAACACAGUGAGAAGUCUUGUUCAGAAGACUUAAAACAUUGAACCCUCGCCGAAAGGUAAAAUCGGUAGUUAUCCAUAUUUAUCCUUUCUGUAUUUCCUUUUUUCUUAAAUUAUUUACUUUCCUUAAAUAGCUUGUUAGUUAAUCAUGCUAUCUUGAAAAGAAAAUAAAAAUGUUAAAAACAGUAAGCCCCAUGUGAGUAUGCUCGUGGCAUAAAACCCAUUCACUGUGGUGGCGUAAAAAUAAAAUAAAUAUAUUCUUGUCCUGUAAAAAUGAAAAUAUAAAAAUAAAUUUAUGAUCCUACUAAAGAGAGUAAUAUUUAUUAGAGGAAGCUCAACAUGAUAAAGGCUAAGAGAUUUUAUGCUAACAAUUAACCAGUUCCACAAAGCUUUGUUGUCUAUUUGAGCUCCGCAGAAUUCAAGGAUCAAGGAAGACUAGCAGACGAAGGAUAUCCUAAUCGCUAUCAGGGUGCAGCCAACAUUCAAAUACACCUACGCCACCUGCUAGCUACAUCAGAAGAAAUUACGUUAAAAUCCAGCUUGGGGGAGAGCACCCCCAUUUAUCCAGCAAAGUGUUUCUACUCACAUUUAUACUUUACUCAAAUAAUAAAAAAAUGCAUAAUCAUAAAAACCCAAUUAAACAUUUUGUGCUUAUAUAUAUCUUUGCUUAGUUUGCUAAAUAAAUAAAUAAAGUGUCUAUGCCAAACUCAACUUCAAUGAUAAACUCUUACAUGGAUAUGAUGAAUAGUUGCUCUGCCAAGUAUCUAGUUUUCAAAUUUGAGCUCUCUCUCAAGUUUAGGCAUAACUGUUAUAAUUUAAAGCUUGCUCUAAACCUCAAUUUGCGGGAAGAGUACCUAAUCAAAAGUCUAAGUCGUUAACAGAUAUGAUAUGGGAAGGUUGAGCUGUUGUUUAUCUGUUCCUAGAGAUGCUAGAAUUCUAGAGAAUUUUAUCUUUGAAAAUCUUUAAAAUGUUGCAUGAUGAGUUCCUAUAUGAUGAGAGUUUAAAAUCCUACCACAGCCAUAUAUACAAGCUUAUUAGACUAUGAACCAUAUAUUUACUUUUUACUGCUUAUGAGCAUUGAGUGUGGUCAAGCUAUGUAGACCCUUAGGAGCUUGUCAUGCAGUUGAAAUCAAGAUUCACUUGCACGUUCACUCAUACAUGCUGCUUCUACUCCAGAAGUACGUAUCCACAUACAUCCACUCAUUUCCAUAUCCAGAUUCACCCAAAGUUAUUCUACUCCUAUCUAGGAGAGCCAAAAAAACAUUAUCCUAUCCCUGUUAUUCCCCAUGAAAUAAAUGCUUGAGAUAUUUUGGUUACUACCACUUGCUACAUUAUUUCAGGAGGGUGAGUGCUCUGAAAAAAAAGUGAAUACGAGGAAAUAAAAAGGGGCAAGUGCCCGAAACCUCCAAAAAAAGAAAAAAAAAGAAAAAGUGAGACGAGAGGUAAAAUGGACAAGUGUCCGACAGUAGAAUCAGGGGUACAAGUACCCAUGUGAGAGAAAAGAAAAAUAAAAUAUAGAGCGUCUCAUUCCCCUCAAAAGCCUCAAGUGCAAUAAAGGUUUGUAUCCCCUCAAAAGAGCAAAAGGAGAAUUAGACUUUCACCAUUAUUUUCACCAUUAUCACCAUUCAUUCGCCACACAUGCAUAUCUUGAUUUGACUUAUUGACUUGUUCUUCUGGAUCCAUGGUUUGACUAUGCAAUAAGUGUCUUGUAAGUAUGUAUUAGCUGUCUCCCACCUAUGAGCUCCAGAUAUCAAAACCUUAUUAGAGUAGGGUGAAAGAGAAGGAAAUACCACUAUGCCUCAUACCAAAAAUACCACAUACUUUGAGAGAAGGCAUACACCAUUACUGCCUUGGUAAGGAUCCAGAAAUACCACAAAAGAGAGAAUAGAGAGAGUCAUACAAGGAAUCUCUGAGUUUUAUUUGAUAAUCUGCAAAAACACUAGAGCUAUAGUUAACUGAAGAACAAGAGAUAAGGCGCUUGACUAGACCGUUCUAUCUUUUAACUGCUCAAGACAUAAGUGACGGUUGCAAGCCCCAUGGUGGAAGGUAAAAUGAGUAAGUUUAAAUCUUAACAGUUUACCCUAACCCAGAGAUGAGAUCUUGUUUGAACGCAUGUGUACCUUUAAGGCAUGAAACCACUGCAAAAACUCUUGAGUCCAUCUUUGCUCAGGGACGAGCAAAGGUUAAGCUUAGGGGAGCUUGUUGACGGUCCUUAAUGCUCACAUUUAACCGUCAACUAAUCAUGAAAAAGGAUCCAAAUGCAACCGACACCUAGACUUAGGGUUUCAUCUGACAGAUUUCCACAAGUUUUGGUGUUUGUCUAUUUCUGCAGGGGGUUAUCAGGAAAUACGAAGGAAAGGUCAACACGUCGGGUUUAAAUAGAGAAUUAAUGUGUGUGGCAAUUUUCCAUAAUCAGGAAGACUCAAGAAGCAACUCGACUGAAGCGGAGCCGAGACGGGCCUAGGACCAGGGCGCCCGCCCUUGAUCCUAGGGCGCCCGCCCUGAUACAAGCACCAAUCACAGAAUCGAGUACACCAUUACAAAGAUCUCGUCGAGCUGAUCGAAAUGCAUAUAUUAUUUGCUAUAUUUGGAGUUCGGAAUCAAGAAAUAUUAAUAAAAGAAUGACUCGAGCUGCGGGAUUAAUUGGGCCCAAAUCACAUUUUGGUCCAUUAAGGCCUAUGUGCAUUUUAAUGAGAUAUGGUGAAAAGUUUAGUACCACAUCGCCUGUUGAACCAAAAACGCACAAAGGAGGAGGACUAUAUAAGCAAGGCCCCUGGCCCCUGGAGGAGAACAUAUCUUUAUAGAGUUGAGAGGUGCCCUCGAAUGUAACCUUUCCUCUAUAGAGAAUUAGGGCUAGACACUCCAAUGUAGUAGAUUAGUUCUAGUUGGGAGUUAGGGAGAGCAGAGCUGCGCUCCGGUUCUAGAGAAGUCUUC
rnacentral:lncRNA from 1 species